rnacentral:rRNA from 1 species
UACAUGUGGGGCAAGCGUUGUUCGGAAUUACUGGGCAUAAAGGGUGCGUAGGCGGUUUGUUAAGUCAGGGGUGAAAGUUUUCGGCCCAACCGGAAAAUUGCCUUUGAUACUGGCGAACUUGAGUGCGUGAGGGGUAACCGGAACGAGCAGUGUAGCGGUGAAAUGCGUAGAUAUCUGGAGGAACACCGGUGGCGAAGGCGGCAUCCUGGACCGGCAUUGACGCUGAGGCGCGAAAGCUAGGGGAGCAAACGGG